CCCGCACAAGCGGUGGAGCAUGUGGUUUAAUUCGAAGCAACGCGAAGAACCUUACCAGGUCUUGACAUCCUCUGACAAUCCUAGAGAUAGGACGUCCCCUUCGGGGGCAGAGUGACAGGGUGCAUGGUUGUCGUCAGCUCGUGUCGUGAGAUGUUGGGUUAAGUCCCGCAACGAGCGCAACCCUUGAUCUUAGUUGCCAGCAUUCAGUUGGGCACUCUAAGGUGACUGCCGGUGACAAACCGGAGGAAGGUGGGGAUGACGUCAAAUCAUCAUGCCCCUUAUGACUCUGGGCUACACACGUGCUACAAUGGACAGAACAAAGGGCAGCGAAACCGCGAGGUUAAG
rnacentral:rRNA from 2 species